CCCUUAGAUGUUCUGGGCUACACGCGUGUUACACUGAUACAUUCAACAAGUAUUAAAUCCCUCACUCGAUAGAGUUGGGUAAUCUUUUAAAUAUGUAUCGUGAUGGGGAUAGAGCAUUGUAAUUAUUGCUCUUGAACGAGGAAUUCCUAGUAAGUGCAAGUCAUUAACUUGCGCUGAUUACGUCCCUGCCCUUUGUACACACCGCCCGUCGCUCCUACCGAUGAAUGGUCCGGUGAGGACUCGGGAUGACCUUUGAGUUAGAUUUUUUCUUCUCACUGUUUGUCAGAACUUGUUCAAACCUUAUCAUUUAAAGGAAGGAGAAGUCGUANCA
rnacentral:rRNA from 1 species